GGUUAAGCGACUAAGCGUACACGGUGGAUGCCCUGGCAGUCAGAGGCGAUGAAGGACGUGCUAAUCUGCGAUAAGCGUCGGUAAGGUGAUAUGAACCGUUAUAACCGGCGAUUUCCGAAUGGGGAAACCCAGUGUGAUUCGUCACACUAUCAUUAACUGAAUCCAUAGGUUAAUGAGGCGAACCGGGGGAACUGAAACAUCUAAGUACCCCGAGGAAAAGAAAUCAACCGAGAUUCCCCCAGUAGCGGCGAGCGAACGGGGAGCAGCCCAGAGCCUGAAUCAGUGUGUGUGUUAGUGGAAGCGUCUGGAAAGGCGUGCGAUACAGGGUGACAGCCCCGUACACAAAAAUGCACAUACUGUGAGCUCGAUGAGUAGGGCGGGACACGUGGUAUCCUGUCUGAAUAUGGGGGGACCAUCCUCCAAGGCUAAAUACUCCUGACUGACCGAUAGUGAACCAGUACCGUGAGGGAAAGGCGAAAAGAACCCCGGCGAGGGGAGUGAAAAAGAACCUGAAACCGUGUACGUACAAGCAGUGGGAGCACGCUUAGGCGUGUGACUGCGUACCUUUUGUAUAAUGGGUCAGCGACUUAUAUUCUGUAGCAAGGUUAACCGAAUAGGGGAGCCGAAGGGAAACCGAGUCUUAACUGGGCGUUAAGUUGCAGGGUAUAGACCCGAAACCCGGUGAUCUAGCCAUGGGCAGGUUGAAGGUUGGGUAACACUAACUGGAGGACCGAACCGACUAAUGUUGAAAAAUUAGCGGAUGACUUGUGGCUGGGGGUGAAAGGCCAAUCAAACCGGGAGAUAGCUGGUUCUCCCCGAAAGCUAUUUAGGUAGCGCCUCGUGAAUUCAUCUCCGGGGGUAGAGCACUGUUUCGGCAAGGGGGUCAUCCCGACUUACCAACCCGAUGCAAACUGCGAAUACCGGAGAAUGUUAUUACGGGAGACACACGGCGGGUGCUAACGUCCGUCGUGAAGAGGGAAACAACCCAGACCGCCAGCUAAGGUCCCAAAGUCAUGGUUAAGUGGGAAACGAUGUGGGAAGGCCCAGACAGCCAGGAUGUUGGCUUAGAAGCAGCCAUCAUUUAAAGAAAGCGUAAUAGCUCACUGGUCGAGUCGGCCUGCGCGGAAGAUGUAACGGGGCUAAACCAUGCACCGAAGCUGCGGCAGCGACGCUUAUGCGUUGUUGGGUAGGGGAGCGUUCUGUAAGCCUGUGAAGGUGUGCUGUGAGGUAUGCUGGAGGUAUCAGAAGUGCGAAUGCUGACAUAAGUAACGAUAAAGCGGGUGAAAAGCCCGCUCGCCGGAAGACCAAGGGUUCCUGUCCAACGUUAAUCGGGGCAGGGUGAGUCGACCCCUAAGGCGAGGCCGAAAGGCGUAGUCGAUGGGAAACAGGUUAAUAUUCCUGUACUUGGUGUUACUGCGAAGGGGGGACGGAGAAGGCUAUGUUGGCCGGGCGACGGUUGUCCCGGUUUAAGCGUGUAGGCUGGUUUUCCAGGCAAAUCCGGAAAAUCAAGGCCGAGGCGUGAUGACGAGGCACUACGGUGCUGAAGCAACAAAUGCCCUGCUUCCAGGAAAAGCCUCUAAGCAUCAGGUAACAUCAAAUCGUACCCCAAACCGACACAGGUGGUCAGGUAGAGAAUACCAAGGCGCUUGAGAGAACUCGGGUGAAGGAACUAGGCAAAAUGGUGCCGUAACUUCGGGAGAAGGCACGCUGAUACGUAGGUGAAGCGACUUGCUCGUGGAGCUGAAAUCAGUCGAAGAUACCAGCUGGCUGCAACUGUUUAUUAAAAACACAGCACUGUGCAAACACGAAAGUGGACGUAUACGGUGUGACGCCUGCCCGGUGCCGGAAGGUUAAUUGAUGGGGUUAGCGCAAGCGAAGCUCUUGAUCGAAGCCCCGGUAAACGGCGGCCGUAACUAUAACGGUCCUAAGGUAGCGAAAUUCCUUGUCGGGUAAGUUCCGACCUGCACGAAUGGCGUAAUGAUGGCCAGGCUGUCUCCACCCGAGACUCAGUGAAAUUGAACUCGCUGUGAAGAUGCAGUGUACCCGCGGCAAGACGGAAAGACCCCGUGAACCUUUACUAUAGCUUGACACUGAACAUUGAGCCUUGAUGUGUAGGAUAGGUGGGAGGCUUUGAAGUGUGGACGCCAGUCUGCAUGGAGCCGACCUUGAAAUACCACCCUUUAAUGUUUGAUGUUCUAACGUGGACCCGUGAUCCGGGUUGCGGACAGUGUCUGGUGGGUAGUUUGACUGGGGCGGUCUCCUCCUAAAGAGUAACGGAG
rnacentral:rRNA from 1 species